rnacentral:rRNA from 1 species
GACGAACGCUGGCGGCAGGCCUAACACAUGCAAGUCGAACGAAUAUGGUCCUAGCUUGCUAGGAACCCAGUUAGUGGCGCACGGGUGAGUAACGCGUAGGAAUCUACCCAAUAGUACGGAAUAGCCCAUGGAAACGUGGAUUAAUACCGUAUACGCCCCACGGGGGAAAGUUUUAUCGCUAUUGGAUGAGCCUGCGUUAGAUUAGCUAGUUGGUAGGGUAAUGGCCUACCAAGGCGACGAUCUAUAGCUGGUCUGAGAGGAUGAUCAGCCACACUGGAACUGAGACACGGUCCAGACUCCUACGGGAGGCAGCAGUGGGGAAUAUUGCACAAUGGGGGAAACCCUGAUGCAGCCAUGCCGCGUGAGUGAUGAAGGCCUUAGGGUUGUAAAGCUCUUUCAGCAGGGAAGAUAAUGACGGUACCUGCAGAAGAAGCCCCGGCUAACUCCG